rnacentral:rRNA from 1 species
AUUGAACGCUGGCGGCAGGCCUAACACAUGCAAGUCGAGCGGAUGAAGGGAGCUUGCUCCUGGAUUCAGCGGCGGACGGGUGAGUAAUGCCUAGGAAUCUGCCUGGUAGUCGGGGAUAACGUCCGGAAACGGGCGCUAAUACCGCAUACGUCCUGAGGGAGAAAGUGGGGGAUCUUCGGACCUCGCGCUAUCAGAUGAGCCUAGGUCGGAUUAGCUAGUUGGUGGGGUAAAGGCCUACCAAGGCGACGAUCCGUAACUGGUCUGAGAGGAUGAUCAGUCACACUGGAACUGAGACACGGUCCAGACUCCUACGGGAGGCAGCAGUGGGGAAUAUUGGACAAAGGGCGAAAGCCUGAUCCAGCCAUGCCGCGUGUGUGAAGAAGGUCUUCGGAUUGUAAAGCACUUUAAGUUGGGAGGAAGGGCAGUAAGUUAAUACCUUGCUGUUUUGACGUUACCAACAGAAUAAGCACCGGCUAACUUCGUG